CUAUCUAAUCUAUGUUUUUUUAUGUCUAUUCUACCGCUUUCGUAAUACUUGACCUGGCAACACUGAUCAUGUUGUGAAAAUUCUAACUGUGGUGACAACAACCUCGCGUAAGAUUGUAGCGUGAGUUGACAACACCGCAACAGGCCCUCCGAGGAGGGAUAAAAGGCGCUGCCUUUCGGCACCCGCCAUCUUAUGCAUAGAGUAAGUAAAAUAAGAGAGGUGGUAAUCAUAUGGGCGUCCUUGUUACCGCGUUGCGCAGGUAGCAGGUGUGCCAGCUGUGUUGUGUAAUAAGUUUGCGACCCAUAAAAAUGAAUGAUCUGAACGACGGAGAGGACUAUGGAAAGCAGCAAUCAAGUGGGAUAAUCUCUCAGAAUUCAAACUAAAAAAUCAGAGAGUAUGCAGUCAGCAUUUCAUUACAGGCAAGGAUCUCCAAGUCUAUAAAAUCAUUUUUAUAGAAAGGAAUUGUUUAGUUGAGCUGAGAGUAGGAACAUAGUUAAAAGAGCCUGAUAUGCUUAAUUGAAUACCUUAUUACGGCGGUAGGCAUUCCCUGCUUCAUUAGAAGAUGAAAGUCAUCCUGAUUGGAUGCCUUCACCGAAUAUGGGGCACAGUUCUCAACAAGUGCACAAACGUCUGGAUGCCAUUGAUAGAAAAGAAAGAUUAGAGAAGCGGAAAAUUAGAAAAGUUGAGGAAAUUAUGGAAUCCGACGUCGUAUAUGUAGAUAAUGAGCUACAUACUGGCAUUGCAGCUCAGACUGAAAUCCCCAUGGACGAACUUGCGAUUAAGUUUGAUCAGCUCAAAUUCGCUUUCAAGAAAAUAGCAGAUCUUAAGUAUAAAAUUGACACUGCGCCUUUUGGACUUAAACAUGAGAUAGGCAAUGAUGAAAAAUGGAUAUACUACACUGGUUUUGAUUUUAUUGUUGAAGCAUUGCGAAUGUCUAGCAACAUUUCGGUAAACCUUAUGUUGCUAGACCCUGAAGGCAUCAUCCAAGCAUUUAGAACAUCAGUACAAGAUGCUUCUUCUCUUCGUCUAUUGGCAUAUUCAGCAGCAAAUAAAAGAGCACCUACAUGACUGCAGACUUCAGCACUUCCAGCCAUACAUGUGCAAUGUGCAGUAGAUAUGGCCUCAUCUUUGGUAAUAAUACACCAAACUUCCAAAGGCUUUGCUUUUGGUCUCAGAGAAUGUUUCACCUAAAAAAAAUACUAUAUACAUACAUAUUUAUUUAGAUUUACCUGCUUGACCCAUAUAAAUGUUAACGUAAAGUACAUUUUUGCAAACGUUACUUAAAACUUGUAAUUUUAUAAUCAAUAAGAUAUAAAUAAAUAGGUACGUAAUACAAUGCUUAACAAACAUUUAUAAGAAUAAUGCAAAAAAAUUCACCUUUCCAAGCAAAACAAAGAAACCAUUAACUUCCUUUGUUCCUACGUCUACAAUAAGCCCAGACUCCAAAUAUUUGUACCAUUGUAGGCUUUUAUAGCACUUCAUUUGCUCCUUGGUAUAAUAACUAGUCAAAACUAAAUAUGAAACAAUGUCCAUAUUUGUUACCGGGGGAACCCCGUGAAUAGAAUUAUCCAAGUCACGUAUGUUCAAGGUGAAAGGAUCCACAUUGUUUAUUAGUCCCAACUUUGUUUUAUAUCUAUAAAGGUAAAGUUGCAAUAAAAAUGAGUGAAAAUGUAACCAUUAUCCAAAUGGGUAUAAAACGCUGCUUACCUUUCCUCAACAUCAGGACUUUCCAACAGAAAUGUCUUUAAAUAUUCACUUUGCAUCUUAAAAAGUUUGUUGUCACUUAAAAAACACUAAAUCGAGUUAUUCAACGAAAACUAAAUCGAACGAUUAACUGAAUUAACUUCAACAGACUGGUUUCGUUUCAAUGUGUGCCCACAGCUGUCAAUUUUGGUCACGUGGUUUGGAAACUAAAUUGUUGGAAUGUUGGAAAACUAAUAACAAAACAAAAUGGUUACUUAAGUGAUUCUAAUUUGCUUCACAGGAAUUCACAAUGCACAGAUCUUUUGUCGGCUUUAAUAUUUGGUGCUUUUCACAACCAGUCUUUGUCAUUAUCGGUUUUCCAAUAGCGGUGGGAAAUAUUUCUUCGAUCAAUCAUAUUUGAUGGUCAUACUCCGGAGUCAUAGAUAAAGACAAGCCCGGAGUGUGGAUUAUGAGUGAAGUAUUUUACAGUAUUUUAACAAAAAUCUUAAAUGGAACGUAAGUGUAGAUAUUAGUGCUAAUAAGGCAAAAAGGCACUUUAUAUUUUAAGGUUUUAGAUGAAAACCCUCUUGAAACCAGUUAACCAAAAAACGCUCAACCAAUAAGAUGAAUGUAGUUUAAUGCGGAGGCCUUUAUAUUUGCCUGCUUCACACGAGAUCCACCCCUAGAGCAGCAUUCUUGGCUACCUAUGGUGAAGUUGGAGCAAAAAAAGAAAGUUGCAGCUGUAAAAACGAAAUCUUUAUCUAUGGAUAUUAAAACUUGAAGAUGAAAAUCCG